rnacentral:tRNA from 1 species
GUAUAGUUUAUUGGUAAAGUGCGUGGUUACCAUGCAUGAGGUCCUGGGUUCGAUCCCCAGUAC